rnacentral:misc_RNA from 1 species
UGGCAUCUGGCUGAAAAUGCCAAAGUUUCUCUUACAGUCAUUUCUCCAAUAUGGAGAUCAUGUUGACUGAUAUAGGCAGCUGUUCUCUGGGGUAUGAACUCAUUCAAUGUAUGAGCAUUGUAUGUCACAUUACCAGAAACCUUCAGAUUAGGAUCAAGCUUCCCAGCCAGUGCCAACAAGAGAGUGGUCUUCCCAGAGCUUGGAGGACCCAGAAGCAAAGUCAUUCUUGAUGGCUUGAUGACUCCACUAACAUCCUUAAGGAUGGUCAGUGGUCUCUUUCUAUUUGGAAGGACAUGAAGACAAUUCAAGAAAACCUCUGCAAUGCUCAUCGUGAAGUUAAGGAAUGAAGGCAAAGCAUUACUUCCCACUAAAGCUUCUGCUUCAAUAUUUAGAUGCUCAUACCGGACUUCAAUAGUUGGAAUUUCAAUUCCAACCCUGUCAAUACGGUUCUUAAGCUUUAACAAGAACUUCUCAUUAUCCUCUUCAGCAACUUUGACCAACCUCUCUAACAAAGUUUUCCUUUCUUGAAAUCCAAGAUUGUCUACAUCGAUCUCAUUAGCUCCACCUUUGGAUACACUAACCAAGAUGCCUUUCCUCAGACGAUCAUAGGUAGGUAGCUUCUCAAGCGCAGCCCAUUUUAGAGCCUCUUCAUCGUCUUCAUCUCGUGAAGAUCUUGAAAAAACAUCCAACCCAUUGUUUCUAAAUACAGAAGAGCUCCCUCUUCGCAAACUAGUACUUGCUCUGUAAUGAUCACCCUCCAUUGGAAGAGGUUUAGAACUUCAGAACCAAAAACAACUAAAACCCACCAGCACAAACAGGAAUUAUUACUCUGUUUACGUUCUUGAUUUCAGAAAAAGAAUUAAAGAAAUCCCAAAUUUAAGUUCUUGAGCUUAAAGCACACACAAAAAUGUGAAUUGGGUUUCUCUGUCUGCAAGAACGAGUUGAAGAGGAAGAGCCUUUUAUAGGGAAAGGACCGUACGACUGGCGGCCGAAGAACAUUCAAACUCUU